rnacentral:rRNA from 1 species
UUGCGGGAGGCAGCAGUCGGGAAUUUUGGGCAAUGGGCGAAAGCCUGACCCAGCAACGCCGCGUGAAGGAUGAAGUCUUUCGGGAUGUAAACUUCGUAAGAAUAGGAAGAAUAAAUGACGGUACUAUUUGUAAGGUCCGGCUAACUACGUGCCAGCAGCCGCGGUAAUACGUAGGGACCAAGCGUUGUUCGGAUUUACUGGGCGUAAAGGGCGCGUAGGCGGCGUGUCAAGUCAAUUGUGAAAUCUCCGAGCUUAACUCGGAACGGUCAAUUGAUACUGAUGUGCUAGAGUGCAGAAGGGGCAAUCGGAAUUCUUGGUGUAGCGGUGAAAUGCGUAGAUAUCAAGAGGAACACCUGAGGUGAAGACGGGUUGCUGGGCUGACACUGACGCUGAGGCGCGAAAGCUAGGGUAGCAAACGGGAUUAGAUACCCCGGUAGUCCUAGCCCUAAACGAUGAAUACUUGGUGUCUGGAGUUUUAAUUCUCCGGGUGCCGUCGCUAACGUUUUUAGUAUUCCGCCUGGGGAGUACGCACGCAAGUGUGAAACUCAAAUGAAUUGACGG